GCCACCUGUCGUCGAGCUGGGCAAUCACAGCCCCCUCAACGCUCU
rnacentral:sRNA from 1 species